UUACUCCUACGGGACGCAGCAGUGGGGAAUAUUGCACAAUGGGCGCAAGCCUGAUGCAGCGACGCCGCGUGCGGGAUGGAGGCCUUCGGGUUGUAAACCGCUUUUGUUCAAGGGCAAGGCACGGUCUUUGGCCGUGUUGAGUGGAUUGUUCGAAUAAGCACCGGCUAACUACGUGCCAGCAGACGCGGUAAUACGUAGGGUGCAAGCGUUAUCAGGAUUUAUUGGGCGUAAAGGGAUCGUAGGCGGUUCGUCGCGUCCGGUGUGAAAGUCCAUCGAUUAACGGUGGAUCCGUGC
rnacentral:rRNA from 1 species